rnacentral:rRNA from 1 species
CCUACGGGAGGCAGCAGUGGGGAAUAUUGCACAAUGGGCGGAACCCUGAUGCAGCAACGCCGCGUGAAUGAUGAAGGACUCCGGGAUGUAAAGCUCUGUCUACAGGGAAGAAAAUGGCGGUACGUGACCAAGUAGGCAUGGCCAACAACGUGCCAGCAGGCGCGGCAAUACGGAGGGGGCAAGCGUUAUCCGGAUUGACUGGGUGUAAGGGGAGCGUAGACGGGAUGGUAAGUCAGUAGUGAAAGCCCGGGGCUCAACCAUGGGACUGCUUUGGAAACUGGCAUGCUGGAGUGCAGGAGAGGUAAGCGGAAGUCGUGGUGUAGCGGUGAAAUGCGUAGAUAUCAGGAGGAACACCGAUGGCGAAGGCGGCUUACUAGACUGUAACUGACGUUGAGGCUCGAAGGCGUGGGUAGCAAACAGGAUUAGAUACCCGAGUAGUC